rnacentral:lncRNA from 10 species
UGAGAUCACAUGGACACAGGAAGGGGAACAUCACACUCUGGGGACUGUUGUGGGGUGGGGGGAACAGGGAGGGAUAGCAUUGGGAGAUAUACCUAAUGCUAGAUGACAAGUUAGUGGGUGCAGUGCACCAGCAUGGCACAUGUAUACAUACGUAACUAACCUGCACAAUGUGCACAUGUACCCUAAAACUUAAAGUAUAAUAAUAAAAGAAAAAAAAACUUUAAAAAAAAGAUGUAUAUAGAAUUGUCAGGUUCGGAAAACAAAAAACAAAAAACAAAAAAAAAAAAGAAAAAGUUCUAGAGAUCUAUUGCACAACAAUGUAAAUACAGUUAACUCUGCUGAACUGUACACUUAUAAAUGGUUAAGAGGGUAAUUUUUACAUGUGUUUUUACCACAUUAAAAAAUGUCUUAAACUGUACAGUUAAAAUAUGAGACAUUUAUUGUAUGUAAGUGAUAUCUUUAAUAAAUUUGAAAAGGGCAAAAAGAAAGCAUAUUGUUUAGAGAAAACACUAGAAAAAACACUUCCUUAAAGAGGUCAUCUCUGGUGUUGUGGGGGGUGAAACAAGAGCUACUUUUUCACAUUACAAAUCUUUGAGUAUUAAAUCAUAUUCAUGUGUUACUCAGAAAAAAUAAACAUCGAAUGAAAACAAUUCAUUCAAGGACAUGAGAAAACACUAAAGUUUCCAUAGAAAAAUGGGUCAAGAUUAUGAUCGCAAGAAAGAAAUACAAAGAGCUAGUGAAAAUGAGAAAAAAGUGGUCAAAUAUAUUAGUAACUAAAGCAAUCCAAUGACAUGCUAUUUUUCCUGUCAAACUAGCAAAUGUGGAUAGAAAUCGGUAUCAUUCAAUGAUGGUAUGGAUGGAAUGAGAUGAACAGUCUCACACGUUGAUGUAAACCUUCAAGAGAGCAAUUUGGGGCACAGAGACAAGAUCCCAACGAUUCAGAAUUAAUUAAAUACCUCCAACUUUGAAUAUUACCGCUUUGUGACAAAACAGAGAAAAGAGCAAAAGUAGAACUUCGACCUUCAUAUAGUCAUGAAAAGCAAAACAAAAACCAUUAAUAGAGUGUUCUUACUAGUGCCUUUUAUUAUAGCCUGCCUGCCUGGCUGCUCCCAGAUACGAACUGGCCCCCAGCCCCUAGAAACCUUGAGUACCCCAGAAGUGGUCAGCCCUGCACUGUGGAAUAGACGUAGGUCCCUAGUUGGUGCCUUCAAACUGUCUUCCACUCUGAUUGUCUUUGACCUCUAGAGUAAUUUAAAAACAGAUGAUGUUUUGCUAUGGAAAGUUCUGCUUCUGGAGAUAGGCCCAAACUUUGGAUUUGGGGAAAUUUUGCAUCUAUUGCUUAAUAAUUCCCAACACACAUCAUAAAACCCCCACGAUCUGGGCACUUUAGUUCACCGCACUGAAAAAAUAAAAAUAAUAAAAAAACAACAAAGGCAGUUUAUUUCCCACAGUAAGUUGAAAGGGAGAGCUGUAGUCCCUGCGGGGGCAGGAUAGGCAUUUUUCUCCUCUUCUUACCCAGAAGGAAGCCUUUCCUCUCACUCUAGUCCUUCCUUACUCCACAGGAGCUGCUGACCUGGCUGCUCAGAUUCUAGGACAUUAAUUUGGGGUCCUGUUCACCAGGGGGCAAGGGUACUAGGAGUUGGUGGCUCUCUCAUCUUCUGCAUGUGGCAGUGAAUGGAUUUGGGGCAGGUGUGCCAGCUUCCUUUCUCUCCUGAAGACUCCCCUGUUUGCCUGAGGCCUCAGCCACUCGCCCCAGUCCUCUUCACUGUCAUUUUGCACACAGCAGCAGUCCUCCACAUUUAAGGAGCAUGCAAACCACAAGACGGGCUUGUUAAGGCACAGACCACGGCACCCUACCUAGAGUGUCUGAUUCCACAGGUCAGGGUGGGACCUAAGAAUCUGCAUUUCUAACAAGUUCCCAGGUGAUGCUGUUGCUCCUGGUCCAGGGGCUGCAUUUUGAGAACCACUGGCCUAGCGUUUCAGACCUCGUCCCAGUUUAUGAUAAAGCAGUACAUUGCUUUCUUAUACAAAUUGGGUGUCCCUGGCUGGGUGCGGUGGCUCAUGCCUGUAAUACCGACACUUUUGGAGGCCGAGGCAGGUGGAUCACCUGAGGUCAGGAGUUCGAGACCAUCCUGGCCAACUUGAUGAAACCCAUCUCUACUAAAAAUACAAAAAGUAGCCGGACGUGGUGGUGGGUGCUUGCAAUUCCAGGUACUCCGGAGACUGAGGCAGGAGAAUUGAUUGAACCCGGGAGGCAGUGAGCUGAUAUCACGUCAUUGCACUCCAGUCUGGGCGACAAGAGCGAAACUCCGUCUCAGGAAAAAAACAAAACAAACAAACAAAAAAAAACUGAGUGUUCCUGGGACUGUAGAUGAAUGCCUUCAAAACUUCACUCUGAGGCCUAAGAAGAGUAAUAAAAUUAUUAAAUUAUCCCAGAAAUAGAUCAUGGGUUUUAUGAGGUAAUAAGAAGAAACUCAAAAGGGUUUGGAGAGGAAGAGGCCUGAGAAUCUCAAGGAGGACUGACCACAUGUCCUCCAUGAGGCUUCAGAGGCAGGGAGAGAGGGCUCGGCAGACACCAGGAAGUAUUUUUGAGCUGCAAUGGCAAUGAAAUAAGCCCUCCAAGGAAGGCUGUGGAAAUCCUGUCCCCAGAGGCCUUUAAAUACAGGAUCAAUGACCAUUUCACUUUGUCGGCUUGAAUCUGGGUUAAAAAACACAUAACUGGAACAAUCACGAUUGAUUUGACCCUCACUCUCUUCCAGGAACUAUGCUAAAUGCUAUAUAUUAUUUUACUUUAUUCUCAUAACAACUGUAUGAAGUUGCUGCUAAUAUCCUCAUUUUACAAAUGAGACUAAGACCACAAGGGCCUCUUGCUCAUGUACCUGGGAAGUAGCAGAACUUAAAUCCAAAUCCAUAUCUGUAUGAUUCCCCAUCCCAAUUUCAAGUAAUGCAUGAAGCUAUAAUUAGGUAUUGGCAUUAUGUACUUUCAGAUUAAAGAGUCAUUCGUGGCCCAGUGUGGUGGCUCAUGCCUAUAAUCCCAGUACUUUGGGAGGCCAAGGCAGGGAGAUCACUUGAGGUCAAGAGUUCGAGACCAGCCUGGCCAAAAUGGUGAAACCGCAUCUCUAUUAAAAAUACAAAAAUUAGCUGUGCAUGGUGGCACAUACCUGUAAUCCCAGCUACUUGGGAGGCUGAGGCUGGAGAAUCACUUGAACCCGAGAUGCGGAGGUUGCAGUGAGCCACGAUCAUGCCACUGCACUCCAGCUUAGGUGACAGAAUGAAACUGCAUCUCAAAAAUAAAUAAAUAAAUAAAUAAAUAAGAGUCAUUCUUGUCCCAGGAGGUUGAGAGGAAGAAAGAUCCUUGUAAUUGAAUGAAAGACACAUGAUUGAUAUGUUUUGACAGGUUGUGGGGGAGGGAGGUGGGGCAAGGAGCAUUGGGAGCAUGAAGGCACUUGCCAGCCAGUGAGGAGCUGGGGGACCUGAGGAGAAUGACCCCAAAGAGGGUGGAGAGAAUGGAAACAGAGCGUAUAGCAUUUACAAAAAUACUAUACUCACAGCAUGCAUGUCAACACCUGUUUCUUCUUUAUUCUUCAUCACAACAAAUGGCACCACUAGCUACACCUGAGCAGAGAACCUGAGCGUCACCUUCCUGUUCUUCUUGCCCACACUCUAAUAGAAAACAAGUUCCAUGGAGGUAGAGAUGGCCCAUGUUAUGUUCCUAGCACCCAGUCAGGUGGUGGGUGGGUCAGUCCCUGCUUAAACCCUGUCAAGUCCUUAUGGUUCUCAGAAUAAAGUUAGUGCUCCUUGGGCGGUUCACAGGUCCUGUGGCCCGCCUCCUGUCCAGCUUUCUCUUCCUUCUCUCUACAGCCUUCUAUUUCGCCCCCUGAAACCAUUCCUUGCUGCUCUCAAUGCCCCACAUGUGGCUUGGAGCCUGUUACUGCCCAGAAUAUCACAGCUACCUGACCCAAACCCAUUCCUCAACCAACUAUCACGUAUUAUUCUUCAGGAUGCAACUUAGAUGUCAC